rnacentral:rRNA from 1 species
UAGGCAAAUCCGUUGUAUAAUCCGAAGACGUGAUGUGGAGCGAAUAAAGUAGUGAAGCGUGUGAGCCAUGUGCCGAGAAAAGCUGCUAUUGUGUAAUGCGUGCCCGUACCGUAAACCGACACAGGUGGAUGAGGAGAGAAUCCUAAGGCCGGCGGAAGAAGCAUUGUUAAGGAAUUCGGCAAAAUGACCCCGUAACUUCGGGAGAAGGGGUGCCUGCGAGAGCAGGCCGCAGAGAAUAGGCUCAAGCAACUGUUUAGCAAAAACACAGGUCUAUGCGAAACCGAAAGGUGAAGUAUAUGGGCUGACGCCUGCCCGGUGCUGGAAGGUUAAGAGGAGAGGUUAGCUUCGGCGAAGCUUUGAAUUUAAGCCCCAGUAAACGGCGGCCGUAACGAUAACGGUCCUAAGGUAGCGAAAUUCCUUGUCGGGUAAGUUCCGACCCGCACGAAAGGCGUAAUGAUUUGAGCACUGUCUCGACAAUGCAUCCGGUGAAAUUGAAGUACCAGUGAAGAUGCUGGUUACCCGCGCCAGGACGGAAAGACCCCAUGGAGCUUUACUCCAGUUUGAUACUGGGAUUCGGUACUGCAUGUACAGGAUAGGUGGGAGACGAAGAAGGAUGGACGCCAGUCUGUCCGGAGUCGCUGUUGGGAUACCACCCCUGUAGUACUGGGUUUCUAACCAGUUGCCAUGAACUGGCAAUGGGACAAUGUCAGGCGGGGAGUUUGACUGGGGCGGUCGCCUCCGAAAGGGUAUCGGAGGCGCUCAAAGGUUCCCUCAGAAUGGUUGGAAACCAUUUGAAGAGUGCAAAGGCAGAAGGGAGCUUGACUGCGACACCGACGGGUGGAGCAGGUACGAAAGUAGGACUUAGUGAUCCGGUGGUAUAAAGUGGGAUUGCCAUCGCUCAACGGAUAAAAGCUACCCUGGGAUAACAGGCUUAUCACUCCCAAGAGUUCACAUCGACGGAGUGGUUUGGCACCUCGAUGUCGGCUCAUCGCAUCCUGGGGCUGUAGCAGGUCCCAAGGGUUGGGCUGUUCGCCCAUUAAAGCGGUACGCGAGCUGGGUUCAGAACGUCGUGAGACAGUUCGGUCCCUAUCCGGCGCGGGCGGAGGAUAUUUGAGAGGAGCUGUCCUUAGUACGAGAGGACCGGGAUGGACGGACCACUGGUGUAUCUGUUGUCGACCAACGGCAUGGCAGAGUAGCCAAGUCUGGAAGGGAUAAACGCUGAAGGCAUCUAAGCGUGAAGCCCCCCUCAAGAUGAGAUAUCCCUCCUUCGGGAGUAAGACCCCUUGAAGACUACAAGGUAGAUAGGGCAGAGGUGGAAGCAUGGCAACAUGUGGAGCUGACUGUUACUAAUAGGUCGAGGGCUUAAC